UACAGAGACGUCGAGCGUUGUUCGGAUUCAUUGGGCGUAAAGGGUGCGCAGGCGGUCCGGUAAGUCGGGUGUGAAAUCUCGAGGCUUAACCUCGAUGGGUCAUUCGAAACUGCCGGGCUUGAGGACUGGAGAGGAGACUGGAAUGGCUGGUGUAGCGGUGAAAUGCGUAGAGAUCAGCCAGAACACCGGUGGCGAAGGCGAGUCUCUGGACAGUUCCUGACGCUGAGGCACGAAAGCCAGGGGAGCAAACGGG
rnacentral:rRNA from 1 species